rnacentral:pre_miRNA from 1 species
GAGACACCCUUAUGGGCAAAACUUGCUUCGGUGGGGCUUUGGUGCUCACUGAGUCUGCCCCCUUAGUGUGUCCCU